AGCGAACGCUGGCGGCAGGCUUAACACAUGCAAGUCGAACGAAUCCUUCGGGAUUAGUGGCGGACGGGUGAGUAACACGUGGGAACGUGCCUUUUGGUUCGGAACAACACAGGGAAACUUGUGCUAAUACCGGAUGUGCCCUUCGGGGAAAGAUUUAUCGCCAUUAGAGCGGCCCGCGUCUGAUUAGCUUGUUGGUGAGGUAAAGGCUCACCAAGGCUACGAUCAGUAGCUGGUC
rnacentral:rRNA from 1 species